AACGAACGCUGGCGGCAGGCCUAACACAUGCAAGUCGAGCGAGGACUUCGGUUCUAGCGGCGGACGGGUGAGUAACGCGUGGGAAUGUGCCCUUCUCUACGGAAUAGCCCUGGGAAACUGGGAGUAAUACCGUAUACGCCCUAUUGGGGAAAGAUUUAUCGGAGAAGGAUCAGCCCGCGUUGGAUUAGGUAGUUGGUGGGGUAAUGGCCUACCAAGCCGACGAUCCAUAGCUGGUUUGAGAGGAUGAUCAGCCACACUGGGACUGAGACACGGCCCAGACUCCUACGGGAGGCAGCAGUGGGGAAUCGUAGACAAUGGGGGCAACCCUGAUCGAGCCAUGCCGCGUGAGUGAUGAAGGCCUUAGGGUUGUAAAGCUCUUUCAGCUGGGAAGAUAAUGACGGUACCAGCAGAAGAAGCCCCGGCUAACUCCGUG
rnacentral:rRNA from 1 species